CGGGGUGUAGCUCAGGUGGCUAGAGUGCGUGCUUGGGGUGCACGAGGUCGCAAGUUCAAGUCUUGUCACUCCGA
rnacentral:tRNA from 6 species